UCUUACGGCCAUACCACCCUGAGCGCGGCCGAUCUCGUCUGAUCUCGGAAGCUAAGCAGGGUCGGGCCUGGUUAGUACUUGGAUGGGAGACCGCCUGGGAAUACAAGGUGCUGUAAGCU
rnacentral:rRNA from 1 species